CGGACGAUGAGUAGUAGGCUCAAUUCAGCACAACGUCCAAGAAACGCUCAAGAAAACAGGGAUUUGAGAGACAGCCUCACUCCAUUUUCAUUCUCACUUAUGCUUUCGUAUCAGUUUCUCGCAUUUUACCGAGAAAAUCUCACGUCAUUUCCAAGAAAAAGCCCUGCCACCGUAUCGUUUCCAACCUCAAGCUGUGAUAAGAGAUGUUACCUCCGGCUGAGGACCCUCCCGAUCUAGGGAUCCCACCCAACCGCGGCCCUCUGCCCGUCAGGACAAACCCUAACUCUGAACCUUACCCUCGCGCUCGCUCCGGCCAUCGACGCAAUGCCCAGCCGCAGGGGAUUCGGGGGGCCCGAGCUCACCGAGGCGCUAUAACAAAAUCGGCGUGACAGAGCAGGAGUGGUCGUUUCUUGACGGAAUUAAGUCUGGGACAUCGUUGAAGUUCGGGUAGGAAAGUUUGUUAAGGAGGUCUGGAGAGCGAGACGGACUCGAUCAGUUGCGGUCAGAAAUGAGGAUCGGCGUUCGGAGGCCUAGGCUUGCUCUUGUGAGUUUUUGCUUUGAGAAUAUGGAAUGUUUGUGUGAGAAAGCGAAGGAAGUGGUGGAGAGCAGGAUCUGGGAAGAGGAUGGUUGGAAUGUAGUUAUCAAAGAGAGGUUGACAGGACGGAGGGUGAGGCUUGAGGUAUCACGGGGUUAGCUGGGAGGGGAGAGCAGAGCACGUGAGUGUGAGU